rnacentral:rRNA from 1 species
GACGAACGCUGGCGGCGUGCUUAACACAUGCAAGUCGAACGGAGUGGCGAACGGGUGAGUAAUACGUGGGUGAUCUGCCUUGCACUUCGGGCUAAGCUUGGGAAACUGGGUCUCAUACCGGAACGUUCAAGAUGAGUUCGCGGCCUAUCAGCUUGUUGGUGGGGUAAUGGCCUACCAAGGCGUCGACGGGUAGCCGGCCUGAGAGGGUGUACGGCCACAUUGGGACUGAGUUACGGCCCAGGCUCCUACGGGGGGCAGCAGGUGGGAAGAUUGCACAAUGGGCGGAAGCGUGAUGCAGCGACGCCGGGUGGGGGAUGAAGGCCUUCGGGUUGUAAACUCCUUUCGACAGGGACGCGGUACCUGUAUAAGAAGCACCGGCUAACUACGUGCCAGCAGCCGCGGUAAUUC